UGGGGAAUUUUGCGCAAUGGGGGAAACCCUGACGCAGCAACGCCGCGUGGGUGAUGAAGGCCUUCGGGUCGUAAAGCCCUGUCGGGAGGGAAGAAAUGAUUGAGAGCUAAUACCUCUUGGUCUUGACGGUACCUCCGAAGGAAGCACCGGCUAACUCCGUGCCAGCAGCCGCGGUAAUACGGAGGGUGCAAGCGUUGUUCGGAAUUAUUGGGCGUAAAGCGCGUGUAGGCGGUCUUUUAAGUCUGAUGUGAAAGCCCCGGGCUCAACCUGGGAAGUGCAUUGGAAACUGGGAGACUUGAGUACGGGAGAGGAGAGUGGAAUUCCUAGUGUAGGAGUGAAAUCCGUAGAUAUUAGGAGGAACACCGGUGGCGAAGGCGGCUCUCUGGACCGAUACUGACGCUGAGACGCGAAAGCGUGGGUAGCAAACAGGAUUAGAUACCCUGGUAGUCCACGCCGUAAACGAUGAGUACUAGGUGUUGCGGGUAUUGACCCCUGCAGUGCCGUAGCUAACGCAUUAAGUACUCCGCCUGGGAAGUACGGUCGCAAGA
rnacentral:rRNA from 1 species